GAUGAACGCUAGCGGGAGGCCUAACACAUGCAAGCCGAGCGGUAGAGAUUCUUCGGAAUCUUGAGAGCGGCGUACGGGUGCGGAACACGUGUGCAACCUGCCUUUAUCAAGGGGAUAGCCUUUCGAAAGGAAGAUUAAUACCCCAUAAUAUAUUUGAUGGCAUCAUUAGAUAUUGAAAGCUUUGGCGGAUAGAGAUGGGCACGCGCAAGAUUAGAUAGUUGGUGAGGUAACGGCUCACCAAGUCGAUGAUCUUUAGGGGGCCUGAGAGGGUGAUCCCCCACACUGGUACUGAGACACGGACCAGACUCCUACGGGAGGCAGCAGUGAGGAAUAUUGGACAAUGGGUUAGCGCCUGAUCCAGCCAUCCCGCGUGAAGGACGACGGCCCUAUGGGUUGUAAACUUCUUUUGUACAGGGAUAAACCUACUCUCGUGAGAGUAGCUGAAGGUACUGUACGAAUAAGCACCGGCUAACUCCGU
rnacentral:rRNA from 1 species